UGGACCAGGGUGUGUUUAUUUCCUCGGC
rnacentral:piRNA from 1 species